UGGGGAAUUUUGGACAAUGGGCGCAAGCCUGAUCCAGCCAUGCCGCGUGUCUGAAGAAGGCCUUCGGGUUGUAAAGGACUUUUGUCAGGGAAGAAAAGGCUGUUGCUAAUAUCAGCGGCUGAUGACGGUACCUGAAGAAUAAGCACCGGCUAACUACGUGCCAGCAGCCGCGGUAAUACGUAGGGUGCAAGCGUUAAUCGGAAUUACUGGGCGUAAAGCGAGCGCAGACGGUUACUUAAGCAGGAUGUGAAAUCCCCGGGCUCAACCUGGGAACUGCGUUCUGAACUGGGUGACUAGAGUGUGUCAGAGGGAGGUAGAAUUCCGCGUGUAGCAGUGAAAUGCGUAGAGAUGUGGAGGAAUACCGAUGGCGAAGGCAGCCUCCUGGGAUAACACUGACGUUCAUGCUCGAAAGCGUGGGUAGCAAACAGGAUUAGAUACCCUGGUAGUCCACGCCCUAAACGAUGUCAAUUAGCUGUUGGGCAACUUGAUUGUUCAGUAGCGUAGCUAACGCGUGAAAUUGACCGCCUGGGGAGUACGGUCGCAAGAUUA
rnacentral:rRNA from 1 species